rnacentral:rRNA from 1 species
UACGUAGGGACCGAGCGUUGUCCGGAAUCAUUGGGCGUAAAGAGCGUGUAGGCGGCUAUUUAAGUCCUGCGUGAAAUCCUGCGGCUCAACCGCAGACGGUCGUGGGAAACUGGAUGGCUAGAGUGCGGGAGAGGAGAGUGGAAUUCCCGGUGUAGCGGUGAAAUGCGCAGAUAUCGGGAAGAACACCCGUGGCGAAGGCGGCUCCCUGGAACGCAACUGACGCUGAGACGCGAAAGCGUGGGGAGCAAACAGG